GAGUGUAAGCUGCUAUAUGAAGGGAUCCACAAGACGAAUAAUUAAGGGGGACCUCUGAUCAACAGCCAGCAAGGAACUGAAUCCCUCAGACCCACAACUCACAAGAAACUGAAGCUGAAGCAGAUUCUUCCUCAGUCAAGCUUCAGAAAGAAAUCAUGAGUGACCACUCAGCUCAAGGCUUCUCUGCUGAUGCCAUCCAGUGAGUUUCCUGGCAGCCAUCUUUUUAUGAAAGAAUAGAGGUCAGCCUGACUGCACUUCCAGAUGAUUAGAGCCACAUCAGGAAGCAGUAAGUGGCAGGGCCAUCUCAAGGAAGAGCCACCAGUCUCCAGGGAGUUUAGGUCUUAGAUGUGAAGCCUCAAGUAAUUUGCAGAGAUUGUCUUGCCUGUAUAACACACCCUGUUGUUGCUUUUAUACAGCCAAACUGACAGGGGUUUGUGAAUCAGAAUGAUGGCUUUGCAUUUUAGCUUAGGGAAGGACCUGCUUUGCAGAAAGGAUCUCAUUGAGAAUAGCAAAAGGAAGUUGGGAACCAUUACAGUGCCCAGCUGUAUUGGUAGAGGAGACCAACCACACCCUCCACAGCACAGCACCUGGAGAGGAACUGCUGCCAUGACCAUAGAGGACACCCUCUGGAUACAAUGCCAGACUUGAUGUGGGACUGACCAACCUAUGGACCCCAGGCACCACCACCCAGACCUGCUCAGCACCUGAAACAUUCACAGCCGUGGAGAGAGAACUGUUCACUGCUACCAUCCACACUUCUGGGCCCCUUCAGCAGCAGGGUGACAAGGAAGAGGGAAAUCGACUUGGAAAAGAGGGGACCUCUGACCCAAGAGUUCGGUCAAUGCAUAUGUUGGCAGCCAGCUGCACAUCGCACCAAAUAUGAACUUCAAAUAGAAGAAAGCCUCAUUUGGAAGAAAGCUCAUGCACAGACUGUAAAUAUUUCAGAGCAGAUUGUGUCUCUGUAGAUUAAGUAAGUUGUGAAAGUCUGAACCUCUGCCAAAAUUUUAAGACCUUGACCUUUACAUC
rnacentral:lncRNA from 1 species